rnacentral:rRNA from 1 species
UGAGGGAAAGUUGCAAAGAACUUUGAAGAGAGAGUUCAAGAGUACGUGAAACUGCUCAGGGGCAAACGGGUGGGCCCUCGAAGUCCGGGGAAGAGGGAUUCAGUCCCCGGCUGCUGGACGCGCUGACACGGAGAGUUCCUGGGUGGGUCUCCGGAGUCGUGCGCGGCAUCGGUAGCCGGGGACGCACUUCCCUCUCCCUUUGUGGACGCCGCAACCUUUCGGGGCGCGGCAGUAAGGACGAAUGGGGAAGGUGGCGUGGGCGUCGGUCUCGCACCGGCGCCCCGUGUCUGUCCCCGAUGUUCCGGCCGCGUUCCGGGAGAGGGAGAGGUCCCGCGCAAGCGGGACGAGCCAUCGCCUCGCCUUAGCGAGCGGCGUGCGGGCGUCAGGGACGCUGAGUGUUCCGAGCGUCACCGAGCGGUGUCGCCGGACUCGCGGUACCCGUUGGGCCCCGUACAGCCGCGGCGUGUGAUCAUGGCUGGCGGCGAGUAGGUCGGUUACCCACCCGACCCGUCUUGAAACACGGACCAAGGAGUCUAACGUGUGCGCGAGUCAGUGAGACUCGAACAAGCUCACGGGCGUAACGAAAGCGACACGUCUCGAACAUAAUGGCGGUGUCUGGAUCUCCGUCUACAUGGCGGAGCGCACGGACGGACUGGGCACACCCGCGGGAUUCGUACCCGCGGGCCCCGGAUCCGGAGCGUAUGCGUUGGGACCCGAAAGAUGGUGAACUAUGCCCGGGCAGGUUGAAGCUAGAGGAAACUCUGGUGGAGGACCGCAGCGGUUCUGACGUGCAAAUCGAUCGUCGAACCUAGG